GACGAACGCUGGCGGCGUGGAUUAGGCAUGCAAGUCGAACGGUAGGGUACCUUCGGGUACCUGAGAGUGGCGAACGGGUGAGUAACACGUAGGUGAUCUACCCUCAAGACGGGGACAACCCAGGGAAACUUGGGCUAAUACCGGAUGAAAGUGCCCUUUGGGGUAUUUAAAAGAUGGCUUUCGGGCUGUCGUUUGGGGAUGAGCCUGCGCUCUAUUAGUUAGUUGGUGGGGUAAUGGCCUACCAAGGCGAUGAUAGAUAGGCGGCCUUAACGGGUGGUCGCCCACACUGGGAUUGAGAUACGGCCCAGACUCCUACGGGAGGCUG
rnacentral:rRNA from 1 species